ACCAUCUACUAUCAUAUUUUGGAAACUCUGCAAUAGCAUCUUACUUUCACAAGGAACCCACAACUCUCAAUUAUCUAAUGCCCAUUGUUCAUUGUGAUCU